ensembl:antisense
GGCGGCAGGAAGAGAAGCGGAGCUGGCGCUGGCUGAUCCCAUUUGCUGCGGCGCCUACAGUCACUUCCAUCCGGAGACUCGGCUCGGCCGGGAACGCUCUGCGUUCGCCUUCUCCUUGGCUCGUCCUUCUAAAAGGCUCCGAGUUCCCUCCCUUCCCUCUCGCACCGCGGCCGGCCUCUUUCCGGGCGCCCGAGGCCAGCUCAACAUUCUCUCCAGAACCCCGGCCUCGGCAUCCGGACGCGUCCUACUAGACGGCCCGUCCGGCCCACACGCAGCCUCGCCGGUCUCCCUGCCCCGGGCCCGUGCUCGCUGCCCCCAGCCUGGCCCGCGAAGCCCUUACCCGCCAGCGGCAGGAUGUGUCGCGCUCCCUGCGGACAUGGCGGCCUGCUCCAGUCAACCACCCGCCAACUACCCACCACCGCCCUCCCGCCACUUCCGCCCAACGCGCUGACGCACGGCCUUUUCCGGCCGUGAGGUAAGGCGGGUCCGGUGAGGACUCUUGAUUCCGAUUGGACCCUCGGUGAUUUAAAGCGUCUGGCGUCUCAGUGACAGGAGUGCCUGCCUGUCGACUCUCCGGCUUGCUCUCUUGCCCUUAAUAAAAAUGGUUGUUGGGCCUGGUUUAAAAGCGAGUUGCGGGCUAGGAGAAUCCAUUUUUAUUGUGGGCAAGCGAGUUGCCUGGAAGACAAGUCAGAAAAUGAAGCCGACUUUCUCCGCGUUCUCUUUGCUCACGUGGAGUCCCAGCCUGUAGCGGAGGAGAACCCUGCCGGCGACUUCAGCGCACUUCUCGAUUCAGCUUAUGAAAAAAGGAAAUGAUUCUUUCCAAAGUCAUUUGCACAACUUCCUUUUCUUUCUUUCUCUUUUUGUUUUGUUUUGGGUCCCCCACCCNNNNNNNNNNNNNNNNNNNNNNGGGGCUGUUCUGGUGGCCAUGAGCAAAAACAUUGGUUUUGGCAAACUCGUAAGCACUUGGACAACUUGUUAUAAAACAAGUAAAGUUGGAGAAAAACUGCUCAGCGAGGUGGAGCUUUUAAAAAAAACGAAGCCAGGGACUGAGAGAUAGCCCUGCAGACGAAGGUGCUAGUAGACAAACAACGAUGUAAGUUAGAUCCCUGGAGCACACAAGGAAAGUUGCUCUCUGAUCUAAGAACUGUCAUAAUGGAGAUUAAAAAUCAAAAGUU